rnacentral:lncRNA from 1 species
CCCCUGCCCAUCGGUGGCGCAUCGCCCCAGGACCUACCCAGAAAACCCGACAAACUUUCCUCUUUGGUUUUUGGCCCUAAUUCGCCUAGGAUCGAUUGAUUUCUCCUAAACUCUCUUAGAUUUGUAUACCCAACAUUAGUAAAUGAAAAUCUACUCAAAAAACUCUCAAACUCAUAACAUUCACCUCAAGAACUCAUCAAAUCCCAUUAUUAAAGAUUUAAGAACAAAAAUUCAAGAAACUCAUCAAGAACCUCAAUACAUGGAUUGUCAUGGAUGAAAUUAACUCAAGAAACUCAUGAUUGCCAUGACGGUGAACAGACCCAUCACUAUGAAAGCUUACAUACCUCGUAAGGAUCAAAUCCUUGGCGACAUUUCUCGAAGAUCAAAAGAAUCUUGAACGAAUGCUUGAACUUCUC